UUUUGCAGCUUAUUAAUUGUUUUGGCUUUGCGAAAAAGAAUUUCCACAUUUGUUGAUUGAGAACAUUUACUGUUUGGAUAAUCAGUAAGGUAUUCUGAUACUCUUGCUUCGAGUUCAAGAAAAGCCUUGUGUUUUCCUGUGAAGUCAUUAAGAUGAUGUAAACAGAGAAAAUGUAGGUAAUGGACAAAGGAUACAGUUGGAAAAAUAAUAGUCGGAUGUUCAUAGAUCCAAGGUUUUAGCUCUGUAGGUAAAAGACACGAUUCGUUCUGAAAUAUAGGGGACCAUAUGGUACAUUCCUUACUGGUCGUCAGGAAUCUACUCUUUUUGUAGCAGUUCAUGUGAUUUUGAAAUUUACUUUCCGAAGUGAUGUCGGUGAUAGAUGGCACACGAAUUUUUUCAACUGUGCACUUAGAGAAACAUGUUUUUAUUACACAUAUGCAUUUGUUAUACUGUUUGUUAACGUAAAAAUACGAUGCCAACAAUAACCAACCAGAAACAGCAUCAUGGUUUGUUCCUUGCAGUAAAUAAUACAUUCGUAGCUUAUGUUGUCUAUAAACUGAUUUGUUUUCAUCCGAAUUGUACUUAAGUAAAUGUGUUUCCUGAUCCCUCCUUCGAUUCAGCAUUGACAGAAGCAUGAUAUAUAUUUGACUACCAGGUAAAUGUAAAGAACCAUAUACGGCAUUGGUAAUACAUUUUAUGGCUUGUUUUUGGCUAUAUUUAUUAUGUUGUAAUAAUGAAAUGUAUGUCAGGUACUGUAAAGGUGAUACCGCCAAACAUGUACUAUGAUAAGAAACUGAAGACAGGGGACAUUUCCAGUCUUUUGAAAACUCAACAAAUGUUUCUGUAUGAAGAAAAUAUUUCCAGCCAAAGUCGGAAAUACGUUUGAGUGCUGAUAAUACAUUUCCUGGUCGCAUUUACGAAAUCUUCCUUCGAACAUGUUAUUGUCGGGGAUAAAGUAAUGCACACAAGUAUUAUAUUCCACACAAUACAAUAGAUAAACCUUUGUACACAGGUCAUUAAGCACGGUAUAAAGUUUUCUUUUUUCCAUUUUGAUCUUUCUACCUCUUCAGAUAGCCAUAAUAUUAUCGUUUUAAUGUAAUACGAACAUAUAAGUUCCAUAUAACCCAACUCAUAAACAUCUUUUAAUAAGAUCUUUAGUAAGCAAUAACACAGUAUUUGACAAUGCAAAAGAGAAUAAAUAAGUUGUUUUUCGGCAACGACAAAUGAUAUACGCCAUUCUAUAUUCUUGGUCGGAGAUCCUUUACUUCCUAUAGGUGCAAAAUGAACACCAUACUCGACUAUUGAUUCAACCAAACUGAUAGGUUGUCAUAACGUUCGUGAUCUACUUAUCCAUGGAUGAGCACACGAUAUCCAUUUAUCGCAUUUGAAACAUGACGCAACAUCAAAAUUUCCACCAGGAUCAGAAUGACAUGGACCAUGAAUUACAUGAUUCGUAAUCCUUCCUUGUUCCAGAAAUACUUGACUGGAAAUAAAUCCUUCCUCGUCUAUACACCCAAAAAAUUGUCUGCAUUAUUUUUCCCUUGACUUGUCUAUUAGUUUUAUUCUUGAAUAUCCAGGCUUUGUGUCAUUCGUCUUUAUUAUCAAUGGAAUAUGUUUAUUUGUAAUAUUUAUAUCGGCUUCGUUUUCAUAAACAUGAUAUAAGGCAUUUAUUAUCAUCAUAUCAUAAUCGCUUCCUUUGAGACCUGUGCCUUCUGCUAUGCUACCACCAAUAAUCAUGAUACAUGUUUUAUUCAAAGUCAAUAUAUGUUCCACUGCAUUAGUAAUUUGUCUCUUGGUCUUCACUACUUUCUUUGAACCGACGACUCUACAGCAAUACUGGUAGAACUGAAUUGAAAGUUCCGUGCUAACUUG
rnacentral:lncRNA from 1 species